UGUUCGAAUCCAUUGCGGUCAACAAAAGUCGGCGGUCAAACUUUGGUCAACGACAGUCAACUGUCGGGUCAAAGGCGGUCAACUCAGGACCCGGAAUGCUUUAGUUGCACGCUAGCGAGUUCACAUUCGUGGGAUGACACUACGGAAUCACGCUAGGCUAGCAUUGCACAGGAAGGUCAAGGUUGCAUUUUCAAAACUAUGGAACGGUUGGAAUAGGAGAAUCCAUGGGAAUUCGAGUA